AUGCAAUAUGGAUUGGAGGCAGGGGAAAUAAUUAGGAAUCUAUUACAAUUAUCCAACUUUGAGGUAACUCAUGACUUAUCAGGUAGAAUUACAUUGGCUUCUAAUAAUAAAAAAAACUGACUAAUCAGUGACUAAAACAAAUUUACUUUUCCCUUUUUUUUUUUUUUUUUUUUUGAGAUGGAGUCUUGCUUUGUCACCAGGCUGGAGUGCAGUGGUGUGAUCUCAGCUCAUUGCAACCUCCACCUCCCGAGUUCAAGUGAUUCUCCUGCCUCAGCCUCCCGAGUAGCUGGGACUACAAGCAUGCACCACCACACCCAGCUAAUUUUUGUAUUUUUAGUAGAGACGGGGUUUCACCAUGUUGGCCAGGAUGAUCUCGAUCUCUUGACCUCGUGAUCUGCCUGCCUCGGCCUCCCAAAGUGCUGGGAUUACAGGCAUGAGCCACUGCGCCCAACCAUUUUUCUUAUGUAUCAAGAAGUCUUGCUGGGUAUGGUGAUGCAUGUUUGUACUCCCAGCUACUCAGGAGGCUUGGGUAGGAGGAUCACUUGAGUCCAGGAGUUCUGGGCUAUAGCAAUCUAUGCUGAUCAAGUGUCCACACUAAUUUCAACAUCAACAGGGUGACCCUCCAGGAGCGGGGGACCACCAAGUUGCCUAAGGAGUGAACUAGCCCAGGUCUGAAACAGAGCAGGUCAAAACUCCUGUGCUGAUUUUAGUAGUAGGAUCACUCCUGUCAAUAACCACUACACCCUGGCCUGAGCAACAUAGUGAGACCCUGUCUCUUAAAAAAAUUCCUUAAUUAAACAAGAAUUCUAAAUAUGGGAAGUCCUGGACUAAUAUGGUGGCUUUAGGAUGCCAUCAGGGACCCUAAUUAUUUGUUUCUGUUCAGAUAGUCUUCAUGUGGCUCUUGUCCUGCUCACCAUUUGUGUUAAAACAAUGGUUGGUUUGGAGGCCCCUAUCCACAUAUUUCCUUUUUCAGGCAGGAAGAAGAGGAAGGGCAAAAGGCAAAACAUAUGCCAGCUGAGCUGGUCCCUUUUAAAAGAACUUUUGGAGACAUCCCACCCAGCAAUUCUGCUUACAUCACUUUGGCCAGGCUGUGUCAAAUGGCCGCUUCUAGCCACAAAGGAUUCUAGCAAAUGCUGUUUUUUGGCUGAGCACAUUAAUGCUCAAACCAAAGAAGUUUUUGUUUGUAAGAAAGGUAGGGAAAAUGAUCUUUGGGUAGGCAACUAGGGUAUUUACACAAUUGGAAUGAGAAAAUUGGAGUGUAACUUAUAUAAAGAUAGGAAUUACUGAAGGAGAAGCAG
rnacentral:lncRNA from 10 species